rnacentral:rRNA from 1 species
UACGUAGGCAGCAAGCGUUGUUCGGAUUUACUGGGCGUAAAGGGUGUGUAGGCGGUUGGAUAAGUGUGGUGUGAAAUCUCCCGGCUUAACUGGGAGGGUGCGCUACAAACUGUCUGACUAGAGUGUGGGAUGGGAAAGUGGAAUUCCUGGUGUAGCGGUGAAAUGCGUAGAUAUCAGGAGGAACACCGGUGGUGUAGACGGCUUUCUGGACCAUAACUGACGCUGAGACACGAAAGCGUGGGUAGCAAACAGG